CUGGCAACUCACCCGAUAUCAACCCUAUAGAAAACCUCUGGGGAAAGAUCAAGUCUGGGUUGCAGAACUACGAUGUCUUCUCAGUACUGAAGCUCAAGGAUGCAACUGUGGGACUCCAUGGCUCAAACUCACCUCCAGACUCUAGUACAGGUAACUCUCGAUUUACGCGAGUUUGGUUUACGCGUUUUUGAAAUAACGCGUGGUCCAAAAUCCAAAUAAAUGUUUAAUUUACACGUUUUUUUUCACUUCUACGCGAUAUUUUAUGGAGUGGCCACCAGAUGUCUCAUGCAACUGGACUCACACGGCGCCGCGGCCCCACAGCUGAGCUCAGUUCUUCCCGCGCGCCACUUGAACAACAAUACAGUACCCACGCUGCCAUGCUACUCAACAACAACAACACCCUCGCUGCUGUGCUACCACGAGGGGAAGGGCAGCCAGAGGAGGAACCACGAGAGGGAGAGGAGUCAGAGUGAUACAGUAGGCAAUAAAGGUACAAACCUA